UACGUAGGGUGCAAGCGUUGUCCGGAUUCAUUGGGCGUAAAGAGCUCGUAGGCGGCCAGUUACGUCGGUUGUGAAAACUGGAGGCUCAACCUUCAGAGGUCGACCGAAACCAUCUGGCUAGAGUUCGGGAGAGGAGAGUGGAAUUCCUGGUGUAGCGGUGAAAUGCGCAGAUAUCAGGAAGAACGCCGGUGGCGAAAGCGGCUCUCUGGAACGGUACUGGCGCUGAGAAGCGAAAGCGUGGGGAGCGAACAGG
rnacentral:rRNA from 1 species